rnacentral:rRNA from 1 species
UACGUACGAGGCAAGCGUUAUCCGGAAUCACUGGGCGUAAAGCGCACGUAGGCGGAUUUUUAAGUCAGGGGUGAAAUCCCGAGGCUCAACCUCGGAACUGCCUUUGAUACUGGAGAUCUUGAGUCCGGAAGAGGUAAGUGGAACUGCGAGUGUAGAGGUGAAAUUCGUAGAUAUUCGCAAGAACACCAGUGGCGAAGGCGGCUUACUGGUCCGGAACUGACGCUGAGGUGCGAAAGCGUGGGGAGCAAACAGG